GGUUCUAUAGUGUAGCGGUUAUCACUCCGGAUUCUGACUUGAUCAGAACAUUCCGGCAACCCCGGUUCGAGUCCGGGUAGGACCU